GUGAUCAAUGUACUACUUGAACAUCUGCGUAGUUGGUAUUAGAAACUUACUUUGAAAAUUGUGAAUUGUGUAGUUUGUAAGAAAUUAUGAAUUGUGAAUAAAUUAUUUCUCAUGUUUUUUUUUUGAUAAAAUGUUAAAAUUAUUAUACUAAUUUUUCAGUUUGAGACAGAAUUACAAUAAGAAAACUAGUAGCAGGAUGCAUAAAUUAAACUAAACACAAACUACACGAUAAUAAAAUUAACCCGAACCAAGGACUCAACUAAAUCUCCAACCCAACUAAACAACGAGACACAGUCAGACCAAAGCACACAGAAGCGAUCGGGGUCGAGAGCGGGGCACCAGGAGCUACCGAGAGAAAGGCACCCUCUAACUUUGAUGCUACGACUCCUACAGCUUCCUACCAUCCUUUCCCAACCUGAACUGGACUGAGAAUCAAACCACGAACAAAUUCAAACCACUCGACAACGAUGACAUCUGAUGGCACGAGAACAAGCUCUUAGCGACGAUCUCGUCGUUCGGAGGAGGAACAAGGAGAAUGCCGUCACCAGCCCCACCCACAGUGACCGUUACACCUGUUGAACCUCACUCUCAUAUAGAGAGAUUGGACCGCAAGAGGCUCGCCCUCUGAACACCACACCGCAAGAGAAAGAACCACCCGAUUGACCAGCUACUGCACGGGUAAUAGACCCAGACUCGUACCACCGAUGGAGCCAAGACCAAAUCGCCUACCUUAUUGGAGGCUCCUGAACGAUGGAGGGAACAAUUUCUGGAUAAGAACGUAGUACACACUCUGAAAGAACGUAAAACAAUGAAGCUCGACUACGCAGGCGCCACCACCACGUCCUGCGAGCUUUCGUCUCGCCAGAGGAUCGAAAACCGACCCCGGAGAACUUACACGCGCCCGCUGGAGACCACCAGCAGAAGGAAGGAAACAACAAACUCCAGAUCCGCGAAAUCUGAGAGCUUGGCCUAAGUCGGGACUAGGUACACCACCACACGGAGGAGUACACCGAUAAAAGCUUAGGCUCACUAUAGCCUCGCGCUCCACCACUCGAACCGAUGCAUCUCUGAGGAAGAAAAAUUCUGGACAUGAGACUCAGCCGCAAAGAGAAACAUACCAGGAGAACACAAACACGCCGUCCUCUAGUGCUAGAACCACCAGAAACAAGACUCAGGAGCAGCGAACCACCGGAUCUGAACCAGAUCUGACCGAAGAAGACAAUCGAUUUAACCGAAGAAAGGACAGGGGAAGAGAGACAACAACGAAAAGAAGCGAAACAAGAAGAUUACGAAUCUCGGCGGUCGCCUUAGGGGUCGGCGGCGACCGCCGGAGAGGAAUGAAAUAACGAAAACUCUAGAAAUUUAAAGAGAACCGGGAGAGGAAAAGUGUAGAGAGAGAAAAGUCUAUCGGGACAUUUCUCACGUUGUUAGCAUAUUAGCAGCUUGGGAUGAUCGGUUUUCACAUAUAUAGUUUAAUGUAAAUUUGGUAAGGAGACUGGGAAAAAGGUGGACAUGGAGAAGGUAGAUUAGAGAUAUGCUUCCAGAUUUUAUCUUUCAAUCACUAUCAAAAGAAAAUUUAGUAACCUGGUUAUUAUUGGCUGCUGCAUCAAUUAUCAGUCGUGUAUAUCAUUUUAAAUAAGCCUAGUAGAUGAAUUAGGUGUUGACCGAUUAAAAUAAAGUUAGGCAUUGACUAAUUAUUGGAUACAUUGUUAGUGUAUAGCACGCUUUUGCAUGAAUCAUUUUAUUAACAGAGUAUUACAAAGUUAAGAUUUUACAUUUAAAUAUGUUUUAAAAAUUGACCAGUAAUACAUUUUGCUAACUAAAAGAGUCACGAUAUAUCCUCUUCAAUAUUUCAUAUACAGGUAGAAAAUCGAAAUAAUACUUUUAGUAUAUAUUAUGAUUUGUAACAAUACGUUGCAGAUGCAUUCAUGUUAAAAUUAAUUAAGAAAUGUUAUAUUCUGUAAUCAUUUACAAGAACAAAUUUACAACUAAAGUUUAGGAGUUAGGACCCACUUGUAUUAUGUUUACUCUUUAAUAUGAUCUACUCAUCAAUCGAAUAACUAAAGUAUAUAAAUAUGAAAAUAAGUAAGUUCUUGAUUAAAAGUAAAAACAUUAUGCUAGAAGCUAUUAGAGCUUUAAUUUCUUAAAUAAAACAUCACAACAUUCUACACAUUGUCGGAUUAUAUAUCCCCUCACACACAAACAAGAACUUUACAUUUUUUUGUAUACUUUACUAAUCAUGACGCAGAAAGCAAGAGGAUAACUUAGUAAAUAAAUACGUUUGAGUUUGCAGCAUGUGGUACUUCUGAUUGUGAUGGUAUCACAACAUGAUCACCAUUAUCCAUGCAAUUAUAUUUCUCAUCACAUCCUCUUUCUAUUGAAAUCAUGUUCGUUCUGUGAAUUACUCAAUCGAGACCAUAAUAAAGUUUAUUCAGUGAUGCAUGACCCUCUUUUGGGUUUAACCCUCUCAUGCAGCUACUAAGUACUAAUCAUAAUGAUUCAAACACUCUCCGUAUUUAAUGUUGAACCCAUUUGAGUCGCUCUCUCUUCCUCUCUCAGAUAUGACAAGGAAAACAACAAAGGAGUAGUGAAAUGCUACUUCCCGUGGUUGAUGUUUGGUUACGGACUUGGACUAUUCUUAACAUACUUGGGACUAUAUAUAUUAUGAACGGACACGGUCAACCUGCACUGCUCUUAUAUUAACAAUCCGAGAUAACUCAGGUUUUAAUGUGAUUAUGUGAAGAACAGCUUUUUUCUACUCCAAGGUUUUUAGACUUUAGUAACAUCAUAGGCUUUUUAAAAUCGGAUUUUUGUUUUAUUUUAAUGUGAAACUUAAAUACAAGUUGACCAGAAAAAAAUCUUAAAUACACAUAGGAUAGAGUGGAACGUGAGGUGUUUGAACAUUUUUACAGUGGGUAAUAUAAUAAAUUAUUUUGGUGCACUAAAAGUAAAUUCAAUAAAAAGUUAUUACAACGGCUAGUAUUCAUUGGAUUGUGGUAAGCAACGGCACAAUGUUGGGAGUGUUGCAAAACAUUGGGAGUGUUGCAAAAAAAGGAAACUCGGGUCUAUUUAUAUUUGUUAUCAGAGAGGAUGAAUCAAUUAUUUCAUUUCUCUUCCUUCUUCAGAUUAUUUCUCCGAUUACUUGCGGCAAAGAAAAGAUUUAGCCGGAGAUGGAGUGCUUCAGCUUUGUUCACAUCAGUGACAACUAACUCCAGUUGUCGGGAUAAAGAGUUGCUUGAAAAGGAGACGAUUCCCAUGGAAACAGAGUCUACACGGACGGGUACGUUUCUCUUUUCUUGAAACUUUUUUAAAUAGAAACAAAAUGUUUUUUUUACUAACCAUGAACUGUUUUGUAAAAUUUGUUUUCACUGCAAAUUUUUUUUAAAAAAAAACUUUCAAACUUGGGGAAAAUUUCUAAAUUAUUUGGUUGAUAAUGAAAACUUAAUGUGUAAUUUGUGAAAAGUAUUAGGAGUUACAUCCGGUUAGUGAUAGUUAGAGAUUGUAUAUUUCUAAUAUCCGGUUAGCGAUUGUAUAUUUCUUUUGUCUUGGCACUUAUGAGCAUUUAGUUCUUCGUAAUCAAUCUCCUAAUGAAGCAAUUUUCCCUCUUGUUUUGUGCGUAGAUUCUUUCUUACUUGCUUUUAUGUUUUUGUUUCCUUUGAUCCUUUUGCUUGUUUUAACUUUCUUCUUGUAUUUGUUUCUUUUAUUGGCUAAGAGACAAAUCUGCUAGUGGAAAGGCGAAUGAUGUUAAUAAUGCAAAGAAGAUCAAAGCUUAUAUGGACAAAGUCUACACGGGUACGUACGCUCCUCUUUUCUCACACUUUUUUAAAUAACCAUAAACUGAUUUUGUAAAGUUAUUUUCACUACAAUGUUAAAAAAAAACUUUCAAACAUAGGGGGAAAAAUUCUAUAUUAUUUGGUUGAUAAUGAAAACAUAAUGUGUAAUUUGUGAAAAGUAUUAGAAGUAACAUCCGGUUAGUGAUAGUUAGAGAUUGUAUAUUUCUAACAUCCGGUUAGCGAUUGUAUAUUUCUUUUGUCUUGGCACUUAUGAUCAUUUAGUUCUUCGUAAUCAAUCUCCUAAUAAAGCAAUUUUCCCUCUUGUUUUUUUUUUCUAAAAUCAACAUCACAUUUGCUUUCUUGUUUUGUGUUUCUUACUUGCUUUUAUGUUUAUGAUUCCUUUGAUUUUUCUGCUUGUUUUAACUUUCUUCUUGUUUUUGUUGCUUUUACUGGACAAGAGAGAAAUCUGCUAGUGGAAAAGCUAAUGAUGUUAAUAAUAUAAAGAGGAUCAAAGCUUAUAUGGACAAGGUUGAGCUAUAGAGCAUUCAAACAUAUGUGUUGAUAGUCUGCUUCCGAGACCAUCAACCAUCUUCUUUAACAAGAUAGAGAAAUCUGCUAGUGGAAAAGCUAAUGAUGUUAAUAAUAUAAAGAGGAUCAAAGCUUAUAUGGACAAGGUUGAGCUAUAGAGCAUUCAAACAUAUGUGUUGAUAGUCUGCUUCCGAGACCAUCAACCAUCUUCUUUAACAAGAUGAAAGGUAACACUAUUACCGCUAUCUUGCAUAAGAAGCCACUGAUCACAGUCUUUGAAAGCCUAUGAGGUCUUCUAUCUAUACAUAUAGAGAGUCUUUAUUGAAUAUUCUCUGUUCUAUCUAAACUUAUCAGUUUUU